AGACCCGAAACCCGGUGAUCUAGCCAUGGGCAGGUUGAAGGUUGGGUAACACUAACUGGAGGACCGAACCGACUAAUGUUGAAAAAUUAGCGGAUGACCUGUGGCUGGGGGUGAAAGGCCAAUCAAACCGGGAGAUAGCUGGUUCUCCCCGAAAGCUAUUUAGGUAGCGCCUCGUGAAUUCAUCUCCGGGGGUAGAGCACUGUUUCGGCUAGGGGGCCAUCCCGGCUUACCAACCCGAUGCAAACUGCGAAUACCGGAGAAUGUUAUCACGGGAGACACACGGCGGGUGCUAACGUCCGUCGUGAAGAGGGAAACAACCCAGACCGCCAGCUAAGGUCCCAAAGUCAUGGUUAAGUGGGAAACGAUGUGGGAAGGCCCAGACAGCCAGGAUGUUGGCUUAGAAGCAGCCAUCAUUUAAAGAAAGCGUAAUAGCUCACUGGUCGAGUCGGCCUGCGCGGAAGAUGUAACGGGGCUAAACCAUGCACCGAAGCUGCGGCAGCGACGCUGAUGCGUUGUUGGGUAGGGGAGCGUUCUGUAAGCCUGCGAAGGUGUGUCGU
rnacentral:rRNA from 1 species